rnacentral:rRNA from 1 species
AGUGAACGCUGGCGGUAGGCCUAACACAUGCAAGUCGAACGGCAGCACAGUAAGAGCUUGCUCUUACGGGUGGCGAGUGGCGGACGGGUGAGGAAUACAUCGGAAUCUACUUUUUCGUGGGGGAUAACGUAGGGAAACUUACGCUAAUACCGCAUACGACCUACGGGUGAAAGCAGGGGAUCUUCGGACCUUGCGCGAUUGAAUGAGCCGAUGUCGGAUUAGCUAGUUGGCGGGGUAAAGGCCCACCAAGGCGACGAUCCGUAGCUGGUCUGAGAGGAUGAUUAGGCAAACUGGAAACGAGACAAGGGUCCGAAUACCAACGGAGGGCGCAGGGGGGAAUAUUGGACCAUGGGGGGAAGCCUGGUUCCGGCAUAACGGGGGGGUGAAGAAGGCCUUCGGGUUGUAAAGCCCUUUUGUUGGGAAAGAAAAGCAGCAGGUUAAUACCCCGCUGUUCUGACGGUACCCAAAGAAUAAGCACCGGCUAACUUCGUG